rnacentral:rRNA from 1 species
AUUGAACGCUGGCGGCAGGCCUAACACAUGCAAGUCGAGCGAGCGGCGGACGGGUGAGUAAUGUCGGGGAAACUGCCGGAUGGAGGGGGAUCAGUAGUGGAAACGGUAGCUAAAACGGCAUUCAAUCAGAUGUGCCCAGAUGGGAUUAGCUAGUCGGUGGGGUAACGGCUCACCUAGGCGACGAUCCCUAGCUGGUCUGAGAGGAUGACCAGCCACACUGGAACUGAGACACGGUCCAGACUCCUACGGGAGGCAGCAGUGGGGAAUAUUGCACAAUGGGCGCAAGCCUGAUGCAGCCAUGCCGCGUGUGUGAAGAAGGCUUUCGGGUUGUAAAGCACUUUCGGCGGGGAGGCGUUACCCGCAGAAGAAGCACCGGCUAACUCCGUGCCAGCAGCCGCGGUAAUAC